rnacentral:rRNA from 1 species
UGCCACCUGAUAGCCCAACUAUAGGUGGUACAUCCUGCCCAGUGACCCCCUCCGUUCAACGGCCGCGGUAGCCCGUGCUAAGGUAGCACAAUCACUCGCCUCCUAAUUAGAGGAAAGAAUGAAUGGAAAAACGAGAGCCCUGCUGUCUCAUCUUUAUUACUAAAAAUUAUCCUUCGGACGAAGAGACCCGAAUAAAAUAAAAAGACAAAAAGACCCUGUAGAGCUUUACUUUACUCAUGAACACCCCCAACUAUUUAUAAAUUAACCCGCAUCAUGAUAAAGUUUGGUUGGGGCAACCGGGGGCCCACAAAACCGCCCCCUCAAUCCAAAGACAUAAUAUGUCACUAUAACGCGUCAGUCUGCCCACAGUCUCCUAAUAAGCGCCAGCUACCUCAGGGAUAACAGGCCAAUCCUUCUUGAGAGUUCCUAUCGACAGAAUGGGCUUGGUACCUCGAUGUUGGCUUAAGGUAAACCCUCUAAGUGUAGCAGCUUUAAGGGUGGGUCUGUUCGACCCUUAAACCCUUUCAUGAGCU